rnacentral:rRNA from 1 species
GAAGGGGCGAGCCUGAUCCAGCGACGCCGCGUGGAGGGAAAGAACGGCUCUUCGGGAUUGUAAACCUCUGUUGCAGGGGAAGAAGGUAAGCUGACGCGCUACCCUGCGAAGGCAAGCCCCGGACAAACGUACGCUGCCAGCCGCCGCGGUACAUACGA